AGCGAACGCUGGCGGCAGGCUUAACACAUGCAAGUCGAGCGGGUGUAGCAAUACAUCAGCGGCAGACGGGUGAGUAACGCGUGGGAACGUACCUUUUGGUUCGGAACAACACAGGGAAACUUGUGCUAAUACCGGAUAAGCCCUUACGGGGAAAGAUUUAUCGCCGAAAGAUCGGCCCGCGUCUGAUUAGCUAGUUGGUAGGGUAACGGCCUACCAAGGCGACGAUCAGUAGCUGGUCUGAGAGGAUGAUCAGCCACAUUGGGACUGAGACACGGCCCAAACUCCUACGGGAGGCAGCAGUGGGGAAUAUUGGACAAUGGGGGAAACCCUGAUCCAGCCAUGCCGCGUGAGUGAUGAAGGCCCUAGGGUUGUAAAGCUCUUUUGUGCGGGAAGAUAAUGACGGUACCGCAAGAAAUAGCCCCGGCUAACUUCGUGCCAGCAGCCGCCGUAAGAC
rnacentral:rRNA from 1 species